rnacentral:lncRNA from 1 species
CAUUGGACUAACAAGCUUUCUAAACUAGGAACAUUUUUCAAGAACCAGUAUGGAAAAGUAGCUUCUUCAGUGUAGAAUUCGCACACAUCAAUGUGUUUGACAUUAUUGAAUUGAACCCCUGAAUAUUGGCUCUGCAAUAUGCCAAAGUCUUUGUUUAUUCAAGGCCAACCUCUCGACAUUGGUAAGUACCUGUUGCGAAAAAUAAAUUAGAACUAAAGAAAUCUGUUUUUGUCCUUGGCAGUUUAUGAAACAAUUAAAUACAUUCUAUCUUCUGCUAAGUAGAACAAAAAAUAAUAUGGAAAGUUAUGAAUUAAUUAACCUCAAAAAAAUGGUGGAUUCUAGGGUGAGGGUUCAAUUAAGUCCCUCACCGGUGAAGCACCACAAUAACACCAUUUGAUUGAAUCAAUGGUCAAGAUUGUUUAAGAAAAAUAUGAGAACAUUUAUUCCUUUCCACACACAAUCCCACCUCUAUUUCUUUCUCAUUUGCAUCCUUUUUCAAUUCAACACAAAUAUGCGGAAGAUGCUUGCUUAAAGUUAACUGAACUGGUGAUGAUAAUCAGCCUAAAUAAAAAUCGGACAUACCAUGAUGAAAUUAAACGAAGAUUAUUUAUGUUUUAUGUUUUUUUAUUGGGUUUAAUAGCAAAGGUAGAAUAGAGGUAUAAAAUUCACCAACCACUUAAAAUUAAAUUUCCAUUUCCAUUACACCAUUGGCCAGGGAAGAUUAAAUCUAUUUUAUCGAAAAAAUGUUGACGAUUAUACAACUAUGCCAACAAAAAUUAAUUGAUUAGCAUAUGAAUCUCUGGCGUGAAGUGAUGUGAGAAAUCUUUAAAUUGUUUUUUGAAAUAGCAAUCUUAAACCAAAAUAAUAUCAAACUUAGGUACAUAUAUCUAUGUUAUUAAUCCCGUACAAGAAUGAGUAUAAAAACAUUUGAUUCUCAAAACCCGUUUCAUUCUUUCCAAAAUUCGUCAAUACCCAAAUCCAGUUUUUAGUUUUAAAUUUUGAAUAAAAAAUUUCCAUACAAAUAUCAAACAAAAAUUAUCAGAUGUGAAGAUGCAAUUGAAGUAGAAAUUGAGUAAACCAAACCAUAAUGGUUUAGACAAGAGUGUGAGGAUGGAAACAGUUUCAUGGCAUAGAUGCAGAAGUUGAAAGGAGAGAAAUAAAGAAAGAAAUUGGAAAGAGAUGAGAUUAGAUCCGGUGUGGUAGUGACUAAUGAGUGUAAUUAAUCUAAUGGUUAAAUUUAGUGGUACACCAGUGAGGGAUUUAAUUGAACCCUCACCCUAGAACAUAUUGAGUAAUUUGUAAUAAAAUUAAUAGAGAUUCUAUUCAAACACAAAAAUAGACACAAAUAUGGUGACACCAUAUAGCACUGUUCAUUUUUUGUAAUUUAUUUUUGCAAAAAGAGAAAACUUUUUUCCAAAAAUAAUAUAUACCAUUAACCACAUAAAAUACAUUUUUAACACCUAAAAUGUAGGUCAUUAAUCAUCUAAAUGUAGGUCAUUAAUCAUCUAGCGUACUUCAUAGAGAAAUGUUAAAACUUACACCUAAAAUGUGUGUCAUUAACGAUUAAAAAAAGUAUUUUAAAAGGUUAAAACUUACAUUUUAGUUGUUAAUGAAGUACUCCAAGUGGUCAAUGAGAAAUUUAUGUACUUCUGGCAUUUUAUAACAAUGUUAAAUAAGUGGUUAACAUUUUUAGUGAUUAAUAAAGUACUUAAAUGAUUAAUGAGAUAUAUGUUAAAUAACUAGUUAAUGACUUACAUUUUAGUGCUUAAUGAAGGAAGUAGUAAGUGUGUUUGGUUUGCAAAACAGUAAGUACUGGACAGAACAGUACAAGAUAGAAUAGUACAACACAUGGCAGAAUAGCACAGGACAAAUUUUUUAUGGCAUUGAGUAAUUUUUUGUUUUAUACGAUUUUUGAGGGACAAAAUGCUAUUUUGGUAUUUUAGACAACUUGUAUGUGGGACAAAAAGUUGUGUUGUGGUUUGGUGAGAGACAAAAAUAUGAGUUUUUGUCCUGUCCCUUGCCUCCAGUUUGUCCUGUACCUGAAACAGUUUUACAAAUCAAACAUUGGACAACUAGAGUUGUUAUGUCCUGUCCUUCAUUUUUUAACAAAUCAAACGCACAAGCUUGUAAUGACUUACAUUUUUUAAACUAAAUUAGAACCGAAGAAAUUUGUAUUUUCCUUGGCAGUUUUUGAAACAAUUAAGUACAUUCUAUCUUCUUGCCAAGUAGUUUAAUAAAUUAUAUGGAAAUUAUGAACUAAUCAGCCGCAACCAAUAUAAUAAACAUAUUGAGUAAUUGGUACUCCCUCCGUUCCAUAAUAAUUGAUCCAUUUAGUAAAAAAAAUAUUGUCCUAAGAAUCUUGACCCAUUUCACUUUUCAAUACAACAUUAAUUACUUUUUUCCAAUUAUAACUUUAAUUAAUACUACUUUCACAACUCUCAAUUCAAUAUAUUUAACUUUACACUCAAAACCAUUUUUCUCUCUCUUUCCUUUAUACAUUUUUCUUAAUAUGUAUGAAAUGGAAAAUUGGCUCAGUAACUGAAGCGGAGGGAGUAAUAAUGUAACAUCCCAGACUGCUUUCAGGAUUGCCGACUGACCCCACAAACCAACACGAGUCUUUUCAGCGUGUUUUGUCAUCACGCGCACGCUUAUUGGAAAACUUUCCGGUAGGUCACCCAUCCCAAAAUUGCUCCAAGUCAAGCACGCUUAACUGUGGAGUUCUUAUGGAAUGAACUACCGAAAAGAAGAUGCAUCUUGUUGAUAUAGGUAGUACCCAACAAUUCUUAUAAGCUUUCCUUCAACCAUGUAGUCCCCUACCUACAAGGCCUCAGGAUCCCUCUCAUUCCGAUGUGAUUCGAUUCCUCUAGAAGCUGUCGGGAGCCGCUCAUUGUCGUGCCUUGUGCACCGGCGACCACUCCCCGCCCUCGUCAGCCUUGGGUGUUACAAAUAAACACAAAUAUGGUGACACUUUACAACACCUAUUGUAUUUUUUUUAUUAAUUUAUUUUUGCCAAAAAAUAAAACUCUUUUCUAAAAUUUUAUAAACGGCGGCUUGAUGCGCAAAGCUCCCGCAUACACAAGAUUCAGGAAGGAGUCACGCCGUUUUUUGUGUAGUGUACACAAUUUUACCCUGUUUUUUCACACAAGAGGUUGUUUGUAGGUAGGGGUGGGAAUAGGCCAGGCCAGGCCAGGCUUUGAUAGGCCUGAGCCUAGCCUAUGAAAUAAAUCACAAGCUUGAGCCUGGCCUAUGGCCUAUCAUAGGCCGUUUUUCUGAGCCUUGUGUGGCCUAUUUAAAAGUUUGGACUGGCCUGAAAGCCUACUUACAGGCCUACUUCACAUUAAGGUCAUCAAAUAGUUCAUUUGGCCUACUAAAUAGGUUAAACAUGUCUUAAAGCCUACUUAAAAGCCUAUUUCACUACAAGUAAAUUUCAACUAGAUUAAAGCCUACAUAAAAGCCUAUAACAACAAAGCCUAUUAAGGGACUAAUAGAUAGAGAAAAAGAUGUUUAUAUAGGCAAUUAUUUUAAUAUAAAAAUAUAUUUUUUAAUAAAUAAGUAUUAAUAGGCCGGCCUAUUAGGCUUAACAGUCUUUUUUUGAGGCCUAAGCUUGGCCUAUUUAACUAAACAGGCUUUCUAAAAAGCCUAAGCCUAGGCCUAUCUACUAAACAGGCCAGGCCAAAACAGGUCAGGCCGUAGGCCGACCUGGCCUAUUCCAAACCCUAUUUGUAGGAAUUGAACAUGUGACUUUUCAGUCGUUGGGAGAGUUGCAACACAAAGACUUCCCAAAAGGUCACCAACCUAAUACUACUCUAGUCCAAACACGUAAUUAGUCUGAGUCGUACUAAUCUAGUGUAUUAGUGAUGUAUCAUCGCACCUCCAUGAUUAUCUAAAAUUUAUAUUUUCUAAAAGAAUAUAGACUUUACAUAAUUAAGGAGGAUACUUUUGCAACACAAAUACUGAUUUAUCUCAUUAACCACUAAAAUGUAAGUCAGUAACCGCUUAUUUAACAUAGUUAUGAAGUAUAUCCCCUAAAAAAGUGACUUAAGUAUAUAGAUAACUCAUUAACCAUUUAGAGUACUUCAUUAACAAAAUACAAAUUAUUAACAGCUUAGAGUGGGUCAUUAAACAUUAGAUAAAGUAUUAAAACGUUAAAAACCUAUAUUUUAGUGGUUAAAGUGGUUAAUGAGAAAUUUAUAUGCUUUAGUUAUUUUAUAAAAGUUAAAAAAUUGGUUGACACUUUAGUGGUGAAUGAAGUAUUUAAAUUAAUGAGAUAUAAGUUAAAGAACUAGUUUUUUUAAGAAGUUAAAUAACUAGUUAAUGACUAAAAUUUUAGUGCUUAAUGAAUUACUCCAAGUGGUUAAUGAGAUAAAUCUGUAUCUGUGUAAGAAAUAACUCUCUAUCAUUAUCUAGAAAAUGUUUAUGCUAAAUAAAUAAAAUAAAAAUAAAAAACAAAUUAUGUAAAAUUAAUAACGCAUUAAAAACAAAUCAACAUUUGUGCAUGUAAAUCAAUAUAUAUUAAGAGCAAGGAUGAUAUAUUUGUAUGCUGAAUUUACCUCUUCAAUCACAAAAAGAGGUUGAUACGUUGAGAUAUUGAGCACAUCACUUCUGGAACUUUCUUGGUGUCUUAGCUCUGUCUUAAAUAGCUCUAUUUUUGGACAUCCAAACAAGUAAAUUGUUUUCAACGAUUUACAUUGAAGUGAAUGAACACCAACAAAGAAUGCCUUCAGCUUAGGUAAAAGUUCAAGUCUAAUGAAUGUUAAAUGAGAAAACACAAAGUUUACUAUCUCAUUUGUUCCUUCUUCCUUGGCAACAAUUUCUUCAAUCCCACAGUUACUUACUCGAAGACUUUGAAGUUGCAUCAUAUCUCUAGCUACUGUGAGCGGAAAGAUACUAAUCAAACUUGUGCAUUCCUCAACUGACACUUCACUUAAAUUUUGAAACCUCAUAGUGUCAUGUGGAUCCUCCUUCCAUACAUGCUUCAGUUUUGGAACAUUAGAUAGUUUUAGUUUCUUCAAUUGACUAGAAUUCUUCACAACAAUUUCUUUUGCAAAUUCAUCUUUCAAAUCAAAAACUGCUUCUAAUGAAUUACAAUCUUUGAUAUCUAAUUCUUCCAAGUUUGUUAGCACUUCUAGCAAAUUUGGUCGAAAAAGCACCUCGGAUAAAAACUCACACUUAUGAACCACUAGACACUUCAAACUCCUAAAUACAUUAUGCUCAAGUUUACCAUACCAUAAUUCUUUUAACUCAGGAUACUCAGAUAGUUUUAAAUGCUUGAAACUACCAAAGGCCACCUAGCAAAACAGUUGUGUCAUGAGUUAGUUCAAACUAAAGUAGUAAAGGAUAAUGCACUUACAAAGUCUAUGUACAUAGUAAAAUUAUUUGCAAAUUAAAAAUAUUAUAACUUUCACAUUGUUUUUAAAUUCGUCCAAUAUAUAUAUAACACAAAAAUUGAUAUAGCAAGUUAAUUAUUUAUUUGAAAUUAGAUUUAAUGCAUAUAAUGAUUAUCAUGUUGUUUGUUGAACAAUAGUAUUAAAAACUUAAUUGAAAGAAGAAGCAAAAGUGAGUGGGAAAAGGACUCUUCUGAUUCCUCAUACCAACAUCUUAUGAACUAAGAAUUCAAUACAGAUAACUUGAAUUGAGAAUCCAUCUCUUUCUCUCUAAUAAUGAAAAUUAAGAUUACAAGUAUACAUUCAAGUUGAGAGUGAGCUUUGCUCACUGAAGUAUACCGACUGUAACUAACUGUGCCAGUGUCUCUAGGCUUCAUUGCUUCUAUUGUGUAUUAGGGUCCAUUAUAUCCUCUUGCAAGGAAGAAUCGAAUAUAUUUUACUUUCUUUCUUUUGAAGAACAAUAAUGCAGCCCAUUUCCUGCUGGCAAUACAUGAUCGUGUAGAUCUCAAUAUGAUUUGGAGUUAACAGAAAGGUAUUCUGAUAGAAAUAUCCUUAAAUUAGCAAAAAGUAAAUAAAGCGGUUAAUUCACACAUGCUGUUGUAUUUUGACUCAAAAAUGAAGGUUCGGAUACACAUAGAAUCGUGACACGAUUUCUUACGCGUGACACGAUUUCUUACGCGUGUCACGAUUUUCGUAGUCGUGAGCAUGGUUUCUCCUAGUGCUCAAUCGUGAUACGAUUUUGAGCAAUCGUGACAUGAUUUUUGGUAUGUUUGGCACGUUUUCAGGAUAAGUUUGCUCGUACCUUGGGUCGUACGCAUCAACCGUGACACGAUUUGGCCAAUCGUGACACGUUUUUUGACAGUAGUAGGGCACUACUUAAGUGUUUCAGUUCAUUUUUGAGAGAUCUUCAAGAAAGAAAAAAAUUGAGAAAUCAAAGGAGGUAUCUUUAGAGUUGAGGGUCUUUGAAUAGAGCUAUACCUUGGGUGAGUGAAAAUCAUUGAGUGUCUUGUUCAUUGGUGAGAUUGGUAAAAUGGUGAGAAAUUAGAUUUUUUCUAGUGAGCUUGUUGAAGCUAAUUUCUUGUAACCCAUUUGUAUCUCUGUGUAAGAACUCAUUGAUAGUGGAUUGGAGAGAUCAAUCUCUCUCCCAUAGUCGGUCAAAUUGGACCAAACUGUGUAAACAUUUCUUGGUGUAUUUGUUUCUCUUCUCUCUUUAUCUUUUACUUGUGGUUUUGAGUUUUUCACUUUGAUUACCAGAUUAGAUCUAUAUGUUGUUAUUAUUGUUGUUGCUUACGUUUACUUUGAUAUUGGUUACUACUUUCAUUUGCUACACAAAUCUUUGUUUUCAUUGGUGUAAUUUUGAGUCCGAAUUCACAACAAUUGGCGCGCACCGUGGGGCAUACGAGUGAAUUAGUUUAGUGAGUACUAUGGGUUCAAAGUGGGUAACGAUUUUGGGUUAUGGAAGGUGAAGAUGCAAGCGGUGUUGAUACAACAAAAGUACGAGAAAGCUUUGAAGGGUGAAGGUGCGUUACCGGUCACCAUGACACAAGCGGAUAAGACCGACAUGGUGGACAUGGGUAGGAGUGCCAUUGUCUUUGUGCCUCGGUGACAAAGUUUCGAGGGACGUCGCGAAGGAACGCGACCAACCGCGGCGUCAGUCUCCAUGACACAAGCGGAUAAGGCCGAGAUGGUGGACAAGGCUAGGAGUGUCAUUGUGUUUGUGCCUCGGUGACAAAUUUUUGAGGGAUGUCGCGAAGGAACCAACUGCGGCGUUGAUGUGAUCAAAGUUGGAGUCAUUGUAUAUGACCAAGACUUUGGCUCAUAGGCAAAUCCUAAAGCAACAACUCUACUCAUUCAAGAUGAUAGAGUCAAAGACAAUGACAGAGCAAUUAACGGAGUUUAUUAAAAUACUUAAUGAUUUGGAGAACAUUGAGUUGCAAUAUGAGAAUAAAGACAAAGAUAUACUCUUGUUAUGUGCUUUACCGUGAUCAUUUGAAUCAUUCAAGGAUACCAUGCUCUAUGGCAAAUGUUACUCCCUCCGUCCCUAAUUAUAAGACCCUUCUGAGAAAUUUUUCUGUCCCUUUUUAUAAGACCCCUUUGCUAUUUCUAACUACAUUAAUUAUUUCUUUACAUGCAUGCUCCUAUUUAUUAUACAUAAUUUUCUUCAAUCAGCAAUAAAUAUCAUGUUGAAAACAUAAACUAACCUUCUUUCUUAAAGGAUAAAAUUGUAAAAACAAUAGUGAUUACAAACAACUUUAAUACAAAUAUCCACUAUCUUAAUUCCCGUGAUUUUGGCAAAAGGGUCUUAUAUAUAGGGACGGAGGGAGUAAUAUAUAAAUAUAUAGUAAAUAAUUAUAUUUAUGCUCUAAAUAUAUUUUAGCUUGCUCUCUAAGUUACUUAGGAUAUAAUAUUAUGACGAAUAUUCAUUCUAUAAAUAUAUCAUAGCUUAGGCCCUAAGCUACCUACUUCUAUAUAAUAAAUCUUCUGUUGUGCUAUUCAGACACACGGUAUUCAUCAUAUGUCUCUCUUUUCUCUCUUAUUCAACAUCAUAUGACACCCGCCCGCAAGCGCCUCCUUUCUCUCCGACGCAAACUCCCACGCGCCGCUCUUACCACCGCGCAUGACGGCAUGUCUGACCUCCGUUCAGGGUGCCCCUGCUCUCAUCGGAGUCGGAAUUCUUUGUUGAUUACAGAUCCGGUCUCUUUUUAGUGUUGAUCCAUGGAAAUACGUGCUCUAGUUCUAGCAACCGUGAAUCCUUUUGUUUUGCGCAAUUUUUCACUCUCUCGACAGUUUCAACACUGCUUGUCAUCCUUUCUUUAUUGCAUUGGGCUGUUUUGAUUCUCGGAUUGUGACCAUCAGCCUGCUCCAUGACUCGUCCCAAAUGUAAGUAUUGUCACCGUUUUGGACAUUCCAUUUUUCACUACAGGAAACUUCAAGGGCGCUCUUCACGUCCUUUGAUUGCUCUAUCCGACACCAUUCAGACCGCUAAUUCUCCUAAGGUUUCUAUGCCAACUUAUGAAGAUUUUUUCCGAUGGGUAAAAUUUCGUCAAAACUCAGCUGUUUCGGGAGUACACACCGGUAAAUCAUUUAGUUGUAACUCUACGUCAACUUCUCUUAAUCCAUGGAUUCUUGAUUCAGGUGCAACUCAUCAUAUUACCGGCAAUAAAGAUUUUUUUAUCUCCUCUCUCACUACAUCCGGUUAGUUACCGAGUAUUACCACAGCAAAUGGUUCCGAAACAUGGUCCACAGGAAACAAAAAUGAUGAAGUUAGUAUAGAGAAGAGUUAGUUAGUAAACUUGCACAUCAAGUUAACCCCUUGCAACUGUUUCUUAAUCUUAGUUAGUUAGAGAAGUAACUAGAGUUAGUUGACAGUUAUAGGGUUACAUGUUCUAUAUAUACUCUUCAUGUACUACUUGUAAGUUUCAGUUUUGUAUGAAAUAGUUCCAUAAGAAUAAACCUUUCUUCUUCCUUAAGUUUUUUCUCUCCAUUAAUGGAAUUUUACUUCCAGUUUUCACAAAAAAAUAAAAAUGGUGGAUUGACACAUACCUUGUCAUCAAACAACUUGUUUACCGAUCUAUUGAGAUCACCCUCCCAGUGAUUUUGUUCAUCAUUUUCUUCAUUGCUUUCUUCAAUUUGUACAAUUUGAAGAUUUGGUGUGUUGGUCACUCCAGAUGAAAAAAGUUCCAUUCGUGCACAUUCUUUGACAACUACAACUUCUAGCAAUGGAAACUUAAUAGGGCAUGGGCAUGAGCAAAGUUGAUGAAGCCGUGGUAAAGAAUUUAAUUCUAGAAAUUGUAAACUUUGAAAUUCAAUUUCGUCCGUCUCAUCUUCUUUACCAUUCACUAUAUCCUCAAGCAAAUUACACAUUUUAAUCUUCAUUGUUGUGAGUUUGACAAGACUCUUUGCUGUUGAGUAUGUUAUCAAAUUUAUCAACCCAUUGCAGUUUGCCACCUCCAAAUAGGUCAGGUAAGUAAAGGUAACAGAUGAUGGAACCAACUUUAUUAGACUGGAACACUGAUGAACAAUAAUGAUUUCAAUAAAAUGUAGAAUGGGGUCCAUUUUAAACCCUUCUUUGCAUAUAUAUUGAAGCUUGUGCAACUGCCAUAAUUUCAACAGUUUGAGUCGCGGGCUAAUUUGAGUUUCCUUUUCUGUACUUAUGAGUUGUUCGCCUUGAAAUAUCUCCGUGAAGAUACUCCACUGUACUAACAAGCUUUCUAAACUAGGAACAUUUUUCAAGAACCAGUAUGGAAAAGCAUCUUCUUCAGUGUAGAAUUGGCACACAUCAAUGUGUUUGACAUUAUUGAAUUGAACCCCUGAAUAUUGGCUCUGCAAUAUGCCAAGGUCUUUGUUAUUCAAGGCCAACCUCUCGACAUUGGUAAGUACCUGUUGCGAAAACUAAAUUAGAACUAAAGAAAUCUGUUUUUGCCUUGGCAGUUUAUGAAACAAUUAAAUACAUUCUAUCUUCUGCUAAGUAGAACAAAAAAUAAUAUGGAAAGUUAUGAAUUAAUUAACCUCAAAAAAAUGGUGGAUUCUAGGGUGAGGGUUCAAUUAAGUCCCUCACCGGUGAAGCACCACAAUAACACCAUUUGAUUGAAUCAAUGGUCAAGAUUGUUUAAGAAAAAUAUGAGAACAUUUAUUCCUUUCCACACACAAUCCCACCUCUAUUUCUUUCUCAUUUGCAUCCUUUUUCAAUUCAACACAAAUAUGCGGAAGAUGCUUGCUUAAAGUUAACUGAACUGGUGAUGAUAAUCAGCCUAAAUAAAAAUCGGACAUACCAUGAUGAAAUUAAACGAAGAUUAUUUAUGUUUUAUGUUUUUUUAUUUGGGUUUAAUAGCAAAGGUAGAAUAGAGGUAUAAAAUUCACCAACCACUUAAAAUUAAAUUUCCAUUUCCAUUACACCAUUGGCCAGGGAAGAUUAAAUCUAUUUUAUCGAAAAAAUGUUGACGAUUAUACAACUAUGCCAACAAAAAUUAAUUGAUUAGCAUAUGAAUCUCUGGCGUGAAGUGAUGUGAGAAAUCUUUAAAUUGUUUUUUGAAAUAGCAAUCUUAAACCAAAAUAAUAUCAAACUUAGGUACAUAUAUCUAUGUUAUUAAUCCCGUACAAGAAUGAGUAUAAAAACAUUUGAUUCUCAAAACCCGUUUCAUUCUUUCCAAAAUUCGUCAAUACCCAAAUCCAGUUUUUAGUUUUAAAUUUUGAAAUAAAAAAUUUCCAUACAAAUAUCAAACAAAAAUUAUCAGAUGUGAAGAUGCAAUUGAAGUAGAAAUUGAGUAAACCAAACCAUAAUGGUUUAGACAAGAGUGUGAGGAUGGAAACAGUUUCAUGGCAUAGAUGCAGAAGUUGAAAGGAGAGAAAUAAAGAAAGAAAUUGGAAAGAGAUGAGAUUAGAUCCGGUGUGGUAGUGACUAAUGAGUGUAAUUAAUCUAAUGGUUAAAUUUAGUGGUACACCAGUGAGGGAUUUAAUUGAACCCUCACCCUAGAACAUAUUGAGUAAUUUGUAAUAAAAUUAAUAGAGAUUCUAUUCAAACACAAAUAUGGUGACACCAUAUAAUACUGUUCAUUUUUUGUAAUUUAUUUUUGCAAAAAGAGAAAACUUUUUUCCAAAAAUAAUAUAUACCAUUAACCACAUAAAAUACAUUUUUAACACCGAAAAUGUAGGUCAUUAAUCAUCUAAAUGUAGGUCAUUAAUCAUCUAGAGUACUUCAUAGAGAAAUGUUAAAACUUACACCUAAAAUGUGUGUCAUUAACGAUUAAAAAAAAGUAUUUUAAAAGGAUAAAACUUACAUUUUAGUUGUUAAUGAAGUACUCCAAGUGGUCAAUGAGAAAUUUAUGUACUUCUGGCAUUUUAUAACAAUGUUAAAUAAGUGGUUAACAUUUUUAACAAAUAAAACGCACAAGCUUGUAAUGACUUACAUUUUUUAACUAAAUUAGAACUGAAGAAAUUUGUAUUUUCCUUGGCAGUUUUUGAAACAAUUGAGUACAUUCUAUCUUCUUGCCAAGUAGUUUAAUAAAUUAUAUGGAAAAUUAUAAACUAAUCAGCCGCAACCAAUAUAAUAAACAUAUUGAGUAAUUUGGUACUCCCUCCGGUUCCAUAAUAAUUGAUCCAUUUGUAAAAAAAAUAUUGUCCUAAGAAUCUUGACCCAUUUCACUUUUCAAUACAACAUUAAUUACUUUUUUCCAAUUAUAACUUUAAUUAAUACUACUUUCACAACUCUCAAUUCAAUAUAUUUAACUUUACACUCAAAACCAUUUUUCUCUCUCUUUCCUUUAUACAUUUUUCUUAAUAUGUAUGAAAUGGAAAAUUGGCUCAGUAACUGAAGCGGAGGGAGUAAUAAUGUAACAUCCCAGACUGCUUUCAGGAUUGCCGACUGACCCCACAAACCAACACGAGUCUUUUCAGCGUGUUUUGUCAUCACGCGCACGCUUAUUGGAAAACUUUCCGGUAGGUCACCCAUCCCAAAAUUGCUCCAAGUCAAGCACGCUUAACUGUGGAGUUCUUAUGGAAUGAACUACCGAAAAGAAGAUGCAUCUUGUUGAUAUAGGUAGUACCCAACAAUUCUUAUAAGCUUUCCUUCAACCAUGUAGUCCCCUACCUACAAGGCCUCAGGAUCCCUCUCAUUCCGAUGUGAUUCGAUUCCUCUAGAAGCUGUCGGGAGCCGCUCAUUGUCGUGCCUUGUGCACCGGCGACCACUCCCCGCCCUCGUCAGCCUUGGGUGUUACAAAUAAACACAAAUAUGGUGACACUUUACAACACCUAUUGAUUUUUUUUAUAAUUUAUUUUUGCCAAAAAAUAAAACUCUUUUCUAAAUUUUUUUUAUAAACGGCGGCUUGAUGCGCAAAGCUCCCGCAUACAGGAUUCAGGAAGGAGUCACGCCAUUUUUUGUGUAGUGUACACAAUUUUACCCAGUUUUUUCACACAAGAGGUUGUUUGUAGGUAGGGGUGGGAAUAGGCCAGGCCAGGCCAGGCUUUGAUAGGCCUGAGCCUAGCCUAUGAAAUAAAUCACAAGCUUGAGCCUGGCCUAUGGCCUAUCAUAGGCCGUUUUUCUGAGCCUUGUGUGGCCUAUUUAAAAGUUUGGACUGGCCUGAAAGCCUACUUACAGGCCUACUUCACAUUAAGGUCAUCAAAUAGUUCAUUUGGCCUACUAAAUAGGUUAAACAUGUCUUAAAGCCUACUUAAAAGCCUAUUUCACUACAAGUAAAUUUCAACUAGAUUAAAGCCUACAUAAAAGCCUAUAACAACAAAGCCUAUUAAGGGACUAAUAGAUAGAGAAAAAGAUGUUUAUAUAGGCAAUUAUUUUAAUAUAAAAAUAUAUUUUUUAAUAAAUAAGUAUUAAUAGGCCGGCCUAUUAGGCUUAACAGUCUUUUUUUGAGGCCUAAGCUUGGCCUAUUUAACUAAACAGGCUUUCUAAAAAGCCUAAGCCUAGGCCUAUCUACUAAACAGGCCAGGCCAAAACAGGUCAGGCCGUAGGCCGACCUGGCCUAUUCCAAACCCUAUUUGUAGGAAUUGAACAUGUGACUUUUCAGUCGUUGGGAGAGUUGCAACACAAAGACUUCCCAAAAGGUCACCAACCUAAUACUACUCUAGUCCAAACACGUUUAAUUGCUGAGUUCCGAUAGAAUCUAGUGCAUUAAUGAUGAUAUCAUCGCACCUCCAUGAUUAUCUAAAAUUUAUAUUUUCUAAAAGAAUAUAGACUUUACAUAAUUAAGGAGGAUACUUUUGCAACACAAAUACUGAUUUAUCUCAUUAACCACUAAAAUGUAAGUCAGUAACCGCUUAUUUAACAUAGUUAUGAAGUAUAUCCCCUAAAAAAGUGACUUAAGUAUAUAGAUAACUCAUUAACCAUUUAGAGUACUUCAUUAACAAAAUACAAAUUAUUAACAGCUUAGAGUGGGUCAUUAAACAUUAGAUAAUGUAUUAAAACGUUAAAAAACUUAUAUUUUAGUGGUUAAAAGUGGUUAAUGAGAAAUUUAUAUGCUUUAGUUAUUUUAUAAAAGUUAAAAAAUUGGUUGACACUUUAGUGGUGAAUGAAGUAUUUAAAUUAAUGAGAUAUAAGUUAAAGAACUAGUUUUUUUAAGAAGUUAAAUAACUAGUUAAUGACUAAAAUUUUAGUGCUUAAUGAAUUACUCCAAGUGGUUAAUGAGAUAAAUCUGUAUCUGUGUAAGAAAUAACUCUCUAUCAUUAUCUAGAAAAUGUUUAUGCUAAAUAAAUAAAAUAAAAAUAAAAAACAAAUUAUGUAAAAUUAAUAACGCAUUAAAAACAAAUCAACAUUUGUGCAUGUAAAUCAAUAUAUAUUAAGAGCAAGGAUGAUAUAUUUGUAUGCUGAAUUUACCUCUUCAAUCACAAAAAGAGGUUGAUACGUUGAGAUAUUGAGCAC